rnacentral:ribozyme from 13 species
AGAGGGAGAAGAGAAAAGAGAAGAAAUUGAAAAAGAGAGAGAAGAGGGCCAUGGUAAUUUUUAUGAUGGUCCUAGUUAUUUCAAUUUUAGGGAUCUUC